rnacentral:rRNA from 1 species
UACGAAGGGUGCUAGCGUUGUUCGGAAUCACUGGGCGUAAAGCGCGCGUAGGCGGCUUGUCAAGUCAGGGGUGAAAUCCUGAGGCUUAACCUCAGAAUUGCCUUUGAAACUAGCAGGCUGGAGUGUCGGAGGGGAUAGCGGAAUUCCUAAUGUAGAGGUGAAAUUCGUAGAUAUUAGGAGGAACACCGGUGGCGAAGGCGGCUAUCUGGACGACAACUGACGCUGAGGCGCGAAAGCGUGGGGAUCAAACAGG